ACUCCUACGGGAGGCAGCAGUAGGGAAUCUUCCACAAUGGGCGCAAGCCUGAUGGAGCAACACCGCGUGAGUGAAGAAGGGUUUCGGCUCGUAAAGCUCUGUUGUUAAAGAAGAACACGUAUGAGAGUAACUGUUCAUACGUUGACGGUAUUUAACCAGAAAGUCAUGGCUAACUACGUGCCAGCAGCCGCGGUAAUACGUAGGUGGCAAGCGUUAUCCGGAUUUAUUGGGCGUAAAGAGAGUGCAGGCGGUUUUCAAGUUCUGAUGUGAAAGCCUUCGGCUUAACCGGAGAAGUGCAUCGGAAACUGGAUAACUUGAGUGCAGAAGAGGGUAGUGGAACUCCAUGUGUAGCGGUGGAAUGCGUAGAUAUAUGGAAGAACACCAGUGGCGAAGGCGGCUACCUGGUCUGCAACUGACGCUGAGACUCGAAAGCAUGGGUAGCGAACAGGAUUAGAUACCCCUGGUAGGAUAGCG
rnacentral:rRNA from 1 species